GAUGAAGAACGUAGCGAAAUGCGAUACUUGGUGUGAAUUGCAGAAUCCCGUGAACCAUCGAGUCUUUGAACGCAAGUUGCGCCCGAAGCCAUUAGGCCGAGGGCACGCCUGCCUGGGCGUCACACGUCGUUGCCCCCCCAUCUACUCCUUCGGGAUUGCGGGGGGCGGAUGAUGGCCUCCCGUGCGCCUCGUCGCGCGGUUGGCCUAAAUGCCAAGUCCUCGGCGACGCACGCCACGACAAUCGGUGGUUGCGAAACCUCGGUUGCCUGUCGUGUGCGGUCGUCGCGCAUCGAGGGCUCGAAAAAAUUGCCGGGCUUCGGCUCGACUUUCAACGCGACCCCAGGUCAGGCGGGGUUACCCGCUGAAUUUAAGCAUAUCAAUAGCGGAGGA
rnacentral:misc_RNA from 1 species